AUCUCAAAAAGACCGUCCCAGUUCGGAUCGCAGGCUGCAACCCGCCUGCGUGAAGUUGGAAUCGCUAGUAAUCGCGGAUCAGCAUGCCGCGGUGAAUACGUUCCCGGGCCUUGUACACACCGCCCGUCACACCAUGAGAGUCGGAACACCCGAAGUCCGUAGCCUAACCGCGAAGGGGGGCGCGGCCGAAGGUGGGUUCGAUAAUUGGGGUGAAGUCGUAACAAGGUAGC
rnacentral:rRNA from 1 species